CAGCAGUGGGGAAUUUUGGACAAUGGGCGCAAGCCUGAUCCAGCAAUGCCGCGUGCAGGAAGAAGGCCUUCGGGUUGUAAACUGCUUUUGUACGGAGCGAAAAGGCUUUCUCUAAUACAGGGGGCUCAUGACGGUACCGUAAGAAUAAGCACCGGCUAACUACGUGCCAGCAGCCGCGGUAAUACGUAGGGUGCGAGCGUUAAUGGGAAUUACUGGGCGUAAAGCGUGCGCAGGCGGUUUUGUAAGACAGGCGUGAAAUCCCCGGGCUCAACCUGGGAAUGGCGCUUGUGACUGCAAAGCUGGAGUGUGGCAGAGGGGGAGGGAAUUCCGCGUGUAGCAGUGAAAUGCGUAGAUAUGGGGAGGAACACCGAUGGCGAAGGCAAUCCCCUGGGCCUGCACUGACGCUCAUGCAAGAAAGCGUGGGGAGCAAACAGGAUUAGAUACCGGGGUAGUCCACGCCCUAAAAGAUGUCAACUGGUUGUUGGGUAUUUACUUACUCAGUAACGAAGCUAACGC
rnacentral:rRNA from 1 species